ACCAUGAAUUUUCAUUACUUUGAAUUGUUGAUGGCCCACUAGCAAUUUUAAUCAGAAGUUGUUGUUGUUGUUGUUGUUGACUAUAAAAGGAGAUCAGUGAAUGAGUUUUCCGCCGGUGAUUUUUACUAUCUGGGAGGUAUUAUUCGCUUGUAAUGAUUAGUUGGGCGGUUAGUUUUCAUAUUUAUUUAUAAAUUGGGAUUUUCUGGUUGUUUACAACAAUUUGUGGGAUAUUUAGGUAUAUGAUGCUAAUUUGAUAGAAUUUCUUGUGGAAAUUGGUUGUGUGUUCUUGCUUGAAUUUGUUGAAAUAAUUGAUGUAUUGAAGGUUCUGAUUUGCUAUUAUGGUACAAAUUCUAGUAGACGGCAAAUUAUCAAGGAAUUUAAGCCCGCAUCGAACCUUUUGAAACCUUACUUUGAUUUGAUUACCCAUCAUGCAAUUAUAUUGGUAAAAAGGUAAGAAAUUGAAAAAUGCAAGCACCAACUUCAGCUAUUGAUUUAUUUGUCUAUAUGACCAGGGCCAACAUUUACUCUGUUAUACUGCAGGAAAAUAAGCAUAAAGCUUAUGCAUAUUUAAAAAUAAUUUUUUUGAUUUUUGCUGCUUCAAAUAUAUAGCCCCUCCCCUACCAAAGAGCAGCUAUAAAUUAGCGGAAAUAGGAAUGCAGAAAGGUAAAGAUGAAAAUAUUUUGAACUUAUUGUUUACUCAUUUUCUCUACUUCUGCUAUGCAUAAUUCUAGUUUUUAAUAGUCCGGAUAUGGUCAUGGUAGUCAAUCUGAUGAUAUAAUUAGUGUGAACUGUGAAACUGAUCUUCCUUGUACAACUACAACAAAUUGGAGAGAAACUCAGAGAAACCAAGGGUUAUGGUCCUUUCACACGUAGGAACGCUCAUGUGCUUAGGGUUUUAUAAUGUUGUCCCGAGUGAUUCCAUAACUAUAAGGCAUUUGAAACAGGUCAUGGGAGAACUACCACUGUCCAGAACGUUCAAAAAGUGGUUGAGAAGAUGUAUAGAAGAUACGAUCCAUAUCAAUUCUUGGCGUACUGAUCCAAGUAUGAUUGGUGGAGCAUAUGGAUAAGGUUACUGGAUAUAAUUUGCAAAGGAAGUAUCUAUUGGAUUGAUUAAACAAAAAAUGAAAGUGCUUUUAGUGCACCGUGAAGCGGAGAAAUAAAUAUGAUAAAUGAAGAAAUCUAUGCAAAAUUAAACCUUGGUAAACGUGGACGUGAUCGUGGCAAGGGAGUAAGUCCCUGUAUUACAUCAUUAUAUGGUUCUUUUAGUGAGGAAAAGAACAAGGCAAAUGAGGGUAAAGGCAAAGGAAGCCAAUGAGAAAAAAUGAAGUACUUACUAGAAAGAUGAAAGGUCUAAAAAACCAAAUGGAAUUUCUGAAAGGAUGCAUGGGAAUUUUUUGGAACUUACGGGUUAUGAUAUAUCUAAAUUGGAUAUGGAUGAGGAGGAGGAGGAUCAGAAUGAAGAGUGUGAUGAAAUGCAAACAAAUGAAGAGUAGUAUGAAUUUGGUAUCUCCUCUACUGCUGUGCUGCUGUUUUUCAUUGGGGUUGACUGAUUUGCUUCGCUCAAUUUGUGUAAAUAUAUUUUAGACAAACCUUGAUUUGGUUUGACUUUGGUAGUUUUUGAUAUGUUUGUGGUUCUUGUUAGUUUUGGGCUUGCAGGUUGUUGCAAGACACCGUUGUUAUUUGGUUGAGCUAUUAUAACAAUUGGUUCAAUUUUUGUUAAUA